rnacentral:lncRNA from 1 species
GAUAUACAACCAUCCACUUGCAUCAUAGGGUACCCUUCUCCCUCAAGCAUCCAAUUGAAAGGUAUUCACUUGCCAUGGGGAACUCCACUCAAAUUUCAGAUUGGGAUGAUUCAAUCACGAGAGAGAUAGCGGCACUGCGCUAUUAUUGCUGCCAUAGCACGUCAUCCUCCCUGAUCACCAUAGAGGCCACCAUUUAUGUGGAGAUGUCUGUUGGAAUGCUAGACUGUCAGGCCAUCCAAGUUCAUCAGCUUCAACAUUCUCUUUUGAGUGGCAUCUACAAGUGUUAGAUUUCAUGAUAAAAGCACUGACAUUCGAUCGAGCAUGGUUCACUUCACGUCAUCCUCCCUGAUCAUCAUAGAUGCCACCAUUUAUGUGGAGAUGUAUGUUGGUAUGCUAGACUGUCUGGCCAUCCAAGUUCAUCAGCUUCAGAAUUCUCUUUUGAGUGGCAUCUGCAAGUGUUAGAUUUCAUGAUAAAAGCACUGGCAUUCGAUCGAGCAUGCCAAUGGAUAAUCAUUACCGGCCGGUACCAGAUAUAAAUCACUUGGACUCAUCGAAGAUGACGACGAAGCAGCCGCACCGCCGACCCUCGAUCAUCUUCUCGCAGAGUCGCGAACCACCACAGAUGCCCAAUAACGAACAAGGUUCAUUUUACGUGAAGUGAACCAUGAAAAGUUGGAAGUGCAGGAACCAUGCUGAAUCUAUUUUCGAGUUUCUUGCUUGUCCAAUAUACAGGCACCACUUUAGCUGAAAAGUUCUGAAAUAGAAAGAUGGUAAUAAUAUUAUUAACAUAUCAAGCUGAAAUGAAAACUUCAUAUGGAGCAGAAUGUUUCCAAAAAAUAGUAAUGCAUUGACCAUCGACUGAAAGUGCACUAAAUCAUAA